GAAGAAAUCAAAACACUUGGCACCGCGAACCGGACCCGAUCCGGCGGUUGGUGAAGCGGGUGCGUCCGGAAGAGGCUGAAGGUAGCGCCGACGACAUGGAUGCGGCUACCAGCUUGCUAUGUUUGAACUCGGCUUCUUCGGCCUUGGAGCCCGGCCACUGCUUGAUCAAUUCCUCAGCUAGGGCCCUCUGACUCCCUCCUCUUCUCUGCUCGGCUCAUUCAAUUUGAAUCUGUUCGUCGUUGCUCACCAGAUGUUUGAAGAAAAGACGCAACAAGCCUUACACCUGGUUGGUGUCUGGUUUCAAGCAACUGAAGCUGAGUGCUGUGGGUUUAUUCAGGAUACUGAAGUUGCUGGGAGUGGACUUCUAUAGAAUCAGGCAAAGGGAGCUCUGAUUUCAUAUCUGCGGCCAUCGUCAGUGACUCCUCUCAGACAGAAGAAGGACUCAUUGCCAACAUACUUGCACAGGUUGCAAAGGAUCCUCGCCGAAUUUAUCCAAAGCACCGGAUCAUCCAGUGCUUCAACGAGCUUUUCGACGAUGUUCCUCUCUUUCAGAAUCCUGUAACAGUUGUUCUUGCUCUCCAAUGCCAUCAUCGCAAGCGCCUCCCCUGCUUCUACCUUCAAUGCCUUCUGCUGCUGGCUGUAUCCAUCCUUGAAGAAGAUCCACAGCAGCUCCUUAAUCAUCCCCCCUGUGUUGCCAAUCCUCUCCCUUGCCUCCUCGUUCAUUGCAAGGCUCGUUAGGAUCUCAAUUCCUAGCUUCUGAAGCAUUAUGUGGCUCUCCCCGUACUGCAAGAUUUCCCUGAUGUUGCUGCUAGUGAAUACGAUCUCCGAUAUCUCCUGCCGGAGCACCUUCCCGGUUUGCCCUGUCGUGCUUGCAAGCAUCUUCACUACCUGCAGUGACCUCUUCAUUGCCUUGACAUGCGACUCAGUUGUGCUCUCUCUCAUCUUCAGCUUCUCCCCGCCACUGGUGAAGUCUAUGAUCUUAGCUAGUAGUCCUCUGGUAUGGCCAAUCUUUGCACAGUUGUCAUGAUCCUUGGUGAGCUUCUUCAGAAUCAGCAGGCCUAACAGAUUGAACACCGAGAACUCGUGGUUGGUAUUGUCCGCGGCGGCACACAGGCGGCAUACCUCAUCAGGCCUUGAAUUCGAGCUGCUUCCACCUGUGUACAGCAAUGAAGAGGUUGAUUCCAUGGCUCCAGGAAUGCCGGCCACUCGGAGAGCAUUCUGCUUCUUUCCGGCGAGCUUGGAGAUGAUGACCGCAGCUGACCUCCUGAUCUCCUCCUCGGCUGGGUUCUUCCAAUUCAGCAUCUCGAUGAGCCUCUCGAUGACCGGAGUCGACGUGCCAAUCUUGCGCAGGGUGCCGUCGGCAAAGCGGUGGCUGGUGGAGAAUUUGAGCAGGAUGCGGGCUCCGAUAAGCUGCUCGUCGCGGGAACUCGACCCGAGGAGCUCCUCCGCGAAGGUGACGAGGUCCAUUUUAAGCCCGUCGAAGAUGCUCCCCUCGAUGCACUUGGAGUAGGCGUCGUAGAAGAACCUCUUGAUGGACACCAUGCCGGUGGCGCCGAGGUGGCACUCCCUGUUCACCUCCUCAAGCAGCAGGCGGUAGCUCACCUUCCACUCCCAGUAGGCCUUCUCGGCCAGGAACAGGAGCGCCUCCGCGAGCGCCAGGCUGUAGAAGAUGUUGAGCGCCGCCUUGCGGUUCUUCUUGUCGGGGUCGCCCGGAGGCAGCUCGCCGAAGUCCUGCUUCACCAGCCGCAUGAGCGAGAGGGAGAUGCAUGAAGAGGCCGCGAGCAACUGCAGCCAGUAGAGCAGUCGGCUGACGUUCCGGGGGAGGAAAACCCAUCCGGAGAAUGGGAGGAUGGGGACGUCACGGGUGUGCCAUGUCCGUAGCGGCGGCGAAGGAGCGACUUGCGAUCUCAGGUCGUUGAUCAUGUGGACGUUGCUCGGCAUUCUCGUGGUGUGAAUCGAGAAUGGCCGGAAAACGAGCUUCAGUGAUUGGAGGAGGACGCGGGAGCUGGACUUGAGAGCUCGGAAGCUCGACCGGCCGGCCUCGGUGAGGGACCAGGUGGCCUGGUGCUGCCACUCAAGCUCAUGACUCCGGCUGAAGAUGCGGGCGCCUUCAAUGAGGAGGAUGAUGGUGAUGAACCAGAAGUCUUUCCUCUCGAGCGCGAUGGCGAAGCCUCCCAGGAGAACCACGGUGGCCCAUAUGAAGCCUAGCGUUCCGAGGCCACUGGCGGCCUUCUCGAUGACAGCAAGCCGGAGCGCGAAGAGCGUCAGCUUCUUCUCGGGAGCUUCGACAACGCCAUGGAUUCUGCACGGCCCAGCUGAAUCGUCGUCCUGGUCCACGCUCUUCGAAGGGUCAUUCAUCUCUCUCUGGGGUUCGAAGAACGUCGAGCCAUAAUUGUCCACAAGCUUGACGCUCACACUGCCAAUUUGCUCGACGAUCCGCAGUCGAAUACUUGGCUCGCCAUCUCUUGCUGUCUCCAUAGGACGAUGAAGAAGAGCACACUACGAUGCGAUUGUGAUGCUACGGCAGGAGCUGCAAUUGAAGAACAAUUGUCCAGAUGAAAAUUAGUAGGCUUUUAUAGGAAUGAGUCCGUCAGCAUGCUUGGGGGAAUGCUAAGGAGGGCGAAGGGCUGCCAACUUUGCGUGGAAUGUGGCUGGAAAUUGUGCAACUGUUUCUCCAUAAGGCAAGGAGACAAAUGAAAAGAUUGUGUUGUAAGGAUUCUUCGGUUGGGAAGGAUGAGGAAACACCAACAAGUUCAAGGAAGAUCGAGAGAGAACAGGGGAGGAGGAGGAGAUGAACCGCUAAAUGAACUUUGGGGGCAAGUUUUUUUGGCUUACACUGAAAGAGGAAGAGUGAAGCCUGUGGCAUCUAUUCUGCUUCCCUCACCCUCCAAACCUUUAUUUGGAGACUUCACAUUAUUUUUGGAUGAUUGCGAAUCCUUGCAAGUCCUGUUUAACUGUUUACUUUGGAUCUCCUCCUUAUCAGACUUUCCUCAGCUUUAUGUAAUAUUUAGCUUGGCAACAAAAUUUGGACAAGAAGUUUCUAUUCCAUGGAUUUUAUCUUUCUGUAUGAUAAUUUAUCCUGUCAUUGGAUUCCUUAUUUGAUCUUA